UAACUAAGCAGAGGAAAAGAAACUAACCAGGAUUGACUUAGUAAGGGCGACUGAAGCGUCAAUAGUUCACCAUGUGAAUCUGCACUCUUGGGUGCCGAAUUGUGGUCUGGAGAUUCUUGCAUUCUAGGGCUGGGCCAAGUCCCUUGGAACGGGGCAGCUAAGAGGGUGAGACUCCCAUCUGUCUGGCUUUGGGAGCAAGGAUCAUGGAGUCGAGUUGUUUGGGAUUUCAGCUCCAAGGGGGUGGUAAAUUCCAUCGAAAGCUAAAUAUUGGUAGAAGACCGAUAGCAAACAAGUACCGUGAGGGAAAGAUGCAAAGAACUUUGAAAAGAGAGUUAAAGAGUACCUGAAAUUGCUGAAAAGGAAGCGAAGGAAACCAGUGAUAGUUGAGCCAUAUUUCCCUGUUCGCUUGCGGUUGGGGCGCUGUGGCCAGCAUAGUCCACAUUGAUUGGCUCAGAUGGAUGCACAUUAAGGGAAGCUGUCCUUGUUUGUUUGCACCUGAUUUGAUUGAUUGGGUCUAAAUGGUUUUCUUCUCCCCGUCUAGAAACACGGACCAAGGAGUCUAACAUAUGUGCGAGUACAGGAGUGUUAAACUGUUGUGCGGAAUGAAAGUGACAGUGGCUGGAACAUUGUUGCACAGUCCGCCGGCCUCAAUCCCUCGGGAGAACGGUCUGAGUGUGAGCAUACAUGUUGGGACCCGAAAGAUGGUGAACUAUUCUUGAGUAGGGUAAAGCCAGGGGAAACUCUGGUGGAGGCUCGUAGCGAUUCUGACGUGCAAAUCGAUCGUCAAACUUGAGUAUAGGGGCGAAAGACUAAUCGAACCAUCUAGUAGCUGGUUCCCUCCGAAAUUUUCCUUAG
rnacentral:rRNA from 1 species